rnacentral:rRNA from 1 species
AACGAACGCUGGCGGCGCGCCUAAUACAUGCAAGUCGAGCGAGAAGACGUAGCAAUACGUUUGUAAAGCGGCGAACGGGUGAGGAAUACAUGGGUAACCUACCCUCGAGUGGGGAAUAACUAGCCGAAAGGUUAGCUAAUACCGCGUACGCUCCUCGGACUUCGGUUCAGGGAGGGAAAGCGAUACCGUGGGUAUCGCGCUCUUGGAUGGGCUCAUGUCCUAUCAGCUUGUUGGGAGGUAACGGCUCACCAAGGCUUCGACGGGUAGCUGGUCUGAGAGGACGAUCAGCCACACUGGCACUGCGACACGGGCCAGACUCCUACGGGAGGCAGCAGUAAGGAAUAUUGCGCAAUGGGCGAAAGCCUGACGCAGCGACGCCGCCGGUGGGGGA